rnacentral:lncRNA from 1 species
UUGGACUCCUGGGCUCAAGCUAUCCUCCCAUAUCGGUCUCCAGUGGCUGAACCAAUUUACAUCCCCAGCAAGAGCGUACAAGGGUUCCAGUUUCUCCACAUCACUGCCAACACUUGUUACGUCUUGUUUUGUUUCAUAAUGCCUCUCCUAAUGAGUGGUAAGUGAUAUCAUAUUUUGGCUUUUAUUUGUAUCUCUCUGAUCAUUAGUGAUGUUGAACAUCUUUUCAUAUACCUUUUGGCUAUUUGUAUGUCUUUGAAGAAAAUUUAUUCAAUCUUUUUGCCCCCCUUUUUAAGUUAUCUUUUUCUGUUGUUGUAGGAGUUCCUUACAUAUGUAAUGAGGUUUUUUUGAAUAAAUGAAUAUAAGUUUAAUAUAGUAAAGACAUUAACACAAUUUUUAUUUUAUGUUUAAUACAUUUUGUGCUCUAGAAAAAAAAUCAUUAUUUAUCUCACCCAAGAUCAUUAUGAUGUUCCUCAAAGUAUUCUUCUAGAAGCUUUAGCAUUCAUAUUUAGGUCUGUGAUCCAUCUUACAUUGAAUUUUGUGCAUGAUAUGAGUGAGAUAUUAAGAUUAAUGAAAAUGCUAAUUAUAAUAGAUUCUCAGGUCCUAGCCAAAGCUUUUGUAUAUUGGGAUCUCUUGAGAUCUAGGUUAUUUAAAGGUAAUAGACGAUCAGUAUUGAUGAAUUUGUUUUCUUUUUCUAUCUGGUGAUUCUCAACCUUUGUUCCAUAUUAGAAUCAAGUGGUUUGCUUGCUUGCUUCUUUUUGUCUUUGCUUUUAGUAGCACUGCCUCAAUCCUACCUUCAAAAAUUCUAAUUUGAUAACCUGGACAUCAGGAUUUUUGGGGAGAAGGGGACAGGGUCUCACUCUGUCACCUGGGCUAGUGUACAGUGGCAUGAUCACAGCUCAUUGCAGCCUCAAACUCCUGGGCUUGAGGGAUCCUUCUGCCUCAACCUCUCACGUAGCUUGAAUUACAGGUGUGAGCCACCAUGCCUGGUGACAUUGGGAUUUUAAUGGGUCUCUGGGUGAGUCUAAUAUAAAGCCAAGUUUGGGAAUCAUUGACAAGCUCCAAAAGCCUGGAAAAAAUGUAUACAUGAAGAUAGAGAUUAGUGUUACUCUCUCCUUGGGUGAAAACCCCUGACAAGUUUUAUUGAUUUAUUGGGAAACAACAUUGGAAGCAGUUUCUCCUCUGCCUCUUUAAUCCCUUGGCCAACGCAAUCUUGAGUUAAGCACAGUCUCACUAUUAAGUCUUGUAGGGUGAAUACAUCUUUACUUCCAGUUUUCAUCCACUUUAUCUUCAUCUCGGAGAAUUAUUGUGAAAAAAAAAGUUCUCAGUGUAUAACUCAUAUUAAGUAAAAGACAUGUAAUACAUUGUAA